CCAACGUGGAUACCAUAGAAAGUCAUUGCCCCGGGCUCUGUCCAGGUGGCAUAGGGGAGCAUAGGGCUCUGCCCCAUGAUAUACAGUCCUAUCACAUGACACUGGAGAGGAAGCUGGGCCUUGAGUUUGUGUCUUUAUAUUCCUCCAGCUUCUCAGAGUCCUGUGGAAUGACUGAGGAAGCAAACCAAGCAGGAAACAGUU